CAGCAGCCGCGGUAAUACGUAGGGUGCGAGCGUUAAUCGGAAUUACUGGGCGUAAAGCGUGCGCAGGCGGUUUUGUAAGACAGGCGUGAAAUCCCCGGGCUUAACCUGGGAACUGCGCUUGUGACUGCACAGCUAGAGUAUGGCAGAGGGGGGUGGAAUUCCACGUGUAGCAGUGAAAUGCGUAGAGAUGUGGAGGAACACCGAUGGCGAAGGCAGCCCCCUGGGCCAAUACUGACGCUCAUGCACGAAAGCGUGGGGAGCAAACAGGAUUAGAUACCCCUGUAGUCCCUGUCUCUUAUAC
rnacentral:rRNA from 1 species